rnacentral:rRNA from 1 species
AACGAACGCUGGCGGCAGGCCUAACACAUGCAAGUCGAACGCCCUAGCAAUAGGGAGUGGCGCACGGGUGCGUAACGCGUGGGAAUAUGCCCUUCACUGCGGAAUAACGUUUGGAAACGAACGCUAAUACCGCAUAAUGACUCCGGUCCAAAGAUUUAUCGGUGAAGGAUUAGCCCGCGUUAGAUUAGCUAGUUGGUGAGGUAAUGGCUCACCAAGGCGACGAUCUAUAGCUGGUCUGAGAGGAUGAUCAGCCACAUUGGGACUGAGACACGGCCCAAACUCCUACGGGAGGCAGCAGUGGGGAAUACUGGACAAUGGGGGCAACCCUGAUCCAGCCAUGCCGCGUGAGUGAUGAAGGCCCUAGGGUUGUAAAGCUCUUUGUGCGGGAAGAUAAUGACGGUACCGCAAGAUAAGCCCCGGCUAACUUCGUGCCAGCAGCCGCG